rnacentral:rRNA from 1 species
AUGUAAUUCCUGCAAUGUUAAUGCAUCAUAUUUUAUUAGAAAUUCGUAGUUAAAUGCACUUGGGCUAGGGUAGUACUAGGAUGGGUGAUCUUCCAGAAAGUCCUAGUGUUUUACAUG